rnacentral:lncRNA from 1 species
CGUGUCAUGGGAUGGCAUUUGGGAUUAUGGUCGCAGAUGAGAAGGAGUCCUUCUUUUGAAAGGAAAUUGAAUGCCACAAAUAAAUGGGACGCCACAUUUAUUUUUGGCAUUAAAGAAGAGAAGUCCUUGUGUUUUACUUCUCUUAAAUUCCUUUUACUUCUCCAUGCGUUUCUUAUUUCAUCGUGUCAUGAGAUGGCUUUUUGAAUUAUAGGCACAG